rnacentral:rRNA from 1 species
UACGGAGGGUGCAAGCGUUAUCCGGAUUCACUGGGUUUAAAGGGUGCGUAGGUGGGUCUGUAAGUCAGUGGUGAAAUCUUCGAGCUUAACUCGGAAACUGCCAUUGAUACUAUAGAUCUUGAAUUUUCUGGAGGUAAGCGGAAUAUGUCAUGUAGCGGUGAAAUGCUUAGAUAUGACAUAGAACACCAAUUGCGAAGGCAGCUUACUACGGGAAUAUUGACACUGAGGCACGAAAACGUGGGGAUCAAACAGG